rfam:Leucobacter chromiiresistens strain NS354 contig_17, whole genome shotgun sequence.
AGCCGUCUUCCACUGCAACGGAUCGUCCGGCACGUGCCUGCCGGCAGAGGAGUACAUCA